UCACUUACCUGGACUGGGUCAAUGGGCGAUCAAGAAGGUCCAUGGCCUAGGUUGGUGACCUCUAUUGCACUUAGGAGGGGUGCCCGCCUAAGGUCGGCCCAAGUGGUCGAGCCUAUGUCAUAAUUUGUGGCAGUGGAGGCCUGUGUUUGCGCGGCCUCUU
rfam:Helianthus annuus linkage group 12, whole genome shotgun sequence.